AUAGAAAUAAAUACAAAUUGCGUUAAAGAAAAGAGAAGGAAAUGGGUUUUGAAACAAGCUAACAUUCCAUUACAAACUUUUCUCCAAUGUACAAAUCAGAGAGCCAGAACACCUACGUAGUUCUUUAGAAAACAGCUUUACUUCUGAACUAGUGCGAGCAGAACCAGGAAUGCAGGCUUUCAGCGAGAGGAAACUAAAAGAAUGAAUAUGUUCCUUGGAUAAUUCAGAUCAACGGAAAAAACAUUGUUGGAUAUUCCAGGUAAUAUACAGUAGGUCUGGCUGAUCAGAAAGGGAAGGGAGGAUGGAAAAAGCACCUAUACAGAUAAUUUAUGGAUGUUAAACUGGCUGGUUCUUAUGCCAUUUUGCCAUUUUGUGAAAUGGUUUAUGACAGCUUGAGGGCUUGGGCAAGUACAUUUUCUAUUGCCAGUAUGGCAACAUUACUUAGGCACUCUUCACCAAUCCUGCUCCACAAAUAGGUCUUAAUUUGCCGCGGGCACAAAAUGUUCAUUGACAGCCAGCACUUGAUGGUAUUGUGACAGCAAUGGUGCACCGUCUUUGUUCACUGAGAGACAUAUUCAGUUCUUCGGGAAUAUUAAGCACUUGGUUCACUCUGACAAUUUUUAUUUCUCUCUCUUGCUCAUGCCUCUUUACAACUUUUGGAAGCAGUUUGAGUUCCUAUUGCUGCUUUAAUGCCUUGCAAAGUGUCUGAGUUUUUCAGGAGCAAGAAAGAAAAUGGCACUUGGAACUGAAACCAUUAAGCACAUUAAAACGCUGCCAUUGUCUAUAAAUUUCUGUCUGUCUUUCAGCUUAUCAGAGUUUGUUUUCCUUUACUCUGUUCUCCUCUAUCCACUCUGUACUACUAUCCACUCUGUACUACUUGUUUUUCAAGUCAGUCUCUUCAGUUUCUUCACCACUCUGCCAUUCUCCCAAUCUCUCUUACAAACAAUCCCUCACCAACAGACCUUCCAUUUUCUGUUCUCUCCAUUCUAUGCCCCUCUCCUUCACACAGCUUGUGUUCCAAGACCCUUAUGAGCAGGCAUGGCACACUUCCUUCUCUUUGAAUGAUACACAUUUCCAUGUGCCUUGCAUGGUUGCAUUAGUUCCCUUAAUCUAUGCAGGACCGUACAUUAUUAUACCUGCUCGCCCAGUUUCCCCAACCCAAGACAUUCCUCAACCAGCCUCUUGGGUGGAAUGCGUUUGUUGGUCCUUUCAGAACACUUAUAUAUCUGCUGCCUUGAUUCUGGCACUGAGUCAAAAUUAACCAGGCCUACUUUCCACCCCUGCCUGCUUUGUGAGUACUCCAAACUGUUGCAUUUGUAUUAAUUAAACUCUAAUACUAAACUCAGUAUUAAUUAAACUCUAAUAUUCACAGACCCAAUUCUCUGUAUAAAGUCUCCCCUUUCCAGCUUCCAUGACUAGUACAACAUCCAUGUUUUCCAAACUGCCAUGAUUCUAGUAGCAAUCAAAACGUAGGGUCAGAAAGUACAGAAUCACUUCCAAAGGAGCUAUACUGGGUACCUGAGUCUGAUGCUGCUGGCCAGGGGGUCACUAAAUCCAAGGCUGGAGGGCAUGAACCCCUUUCAAAGCCACAUCCCACAGUACCAGGGACCAUAGAGCCAGAGCCAGGACCUUCACAGUUGCCUUUCCUUGGGUCUGUGCAACCAAGUGCCUCCCAACCUACCUUGCUGGUCUACUAGUGCAGGUAGUGUCCCAGGUAGAAUGCCAAGGGAGCACAGAAGAGCUGCACAUCUGUGGGCCAGAGGUUGACUCUUUAUGGACUGCUGGUUGCACACAGGAGACUAGGAGAGGUAGACGGCAGGCAGUGGCUCAAAAGGCCUCAUUUAACUCUAGCCAUUGCUGGAGCUGACUGCUCGCUUGGAGCUGUCCAUGGUGCUGCAACACCUGCCUUGCCCUGUGGACUCCUCUGACUGAUCAGACCAAGACACAAACAUUAAAUAGUUUGUGUAUCCUUAAGAGUGGGCAGCACUCACUUCUUGCUAGAGUUACAUCCAUCUGGCUGGCCAAGUCACAAGUCUGCAGUCCACUUAGUAACUCAUGGACAUUUGGGCAGUUUCCAAAUUGGGGAGCAUAAAUUAUGCAUAUAAAAUGUCAGAAACCAUAAAGCCUUUUAAAGGUAUUCUGGCCAUUUGUUUUAUGUACAAUAAACCAACAUUUAUCUUUAACUGGACAGAGAUUUUACUCCCAUAUGGAAUGAUGACAGUAACAAAUGGCAACACAGUGAAGGGGGGGGGAGACUUUGGGGAAAAAAAUGUCACAGAUGCAUAUAUAUAUAUAUAUAUAUAUAACCUCAAAAUCUCACGUAUGCGAGGGCUUGUCCUUCUGCAAGGUGACACAAUCCUCCAAAGUACACAGAACUAAACUUAGCAGAUCUGUAUCAAGUCAGAAGAUGAGAUUCUAAGCAGUUAAGCAUACUCGUGAGUGGUUUCAUGAGCAAGAUAAUAGGCAGAAUAGCAGCUGAAGCAAGAACAGAUCCUCAGCUGUUGCCAGGGAUAUGACAGAAACCAUUCUCUCUUGUUCCAAACAGGCAGGUAUACUGCCAUCCUAGAUAAGUUAUCUCUGUAUGAAAUUUGCAAUGAAUACACAGAACAGAAUGCACAAGAACCACUGGGAACAUAGCAAGCCUGGUUCGCCCUUGUGCUUGCCCCAAAGGUUGGAGUUGGAAUCUGAAUUAAAUUGUACACAUUGCUUCUGAGCAAUGGACUACUUUGGUUAAUAGGUCUGUUAUGUACACAGUAGGGGCUCACCCAGACAACCUGUUUAUUGAGCAUCCAUCUUGACUUUGUUGUACAAAGCUUGUUGUACAGUCGUCAGACUAUGUCCAGUCUCUAUUGUGCAUUCAUCUUGAUUUGCUUGCAUAGUGCCUAUACAUCUUCCCAUGAAUCAUUUGUUCUUUUCAAUGCAUUCCCCUGUCACUUUCCUAACCAUAAAAAGGCCAGUUGUUGUUUUUAAUAUGGAUUUGUUGUGGUAAGGCAACAGGGAUCUGCAAAACACUGAGCCUGGAGGUGACCUAAUUAUACAUCUAAUUGCACAACCGUGAAAUAAUAUUUUGUAAAUAAUUAUCCCAUUGGGUUCAUAAAGGCUAUGGUACAUAGUCCACAGGAGAGUUACUUUAAACUUCUAUGAAGCACAGGGAAGGGGAACCUGUUGCCUUCCAGAUAUUGUUGGACUACAAGCAUCCCUAACCACUGGCCAUGCUGGCUCAGGCUGAUGGGGUUGGAGUCAAAUAACAUUGGGAGCGACAUGGGUUCCUCAUCACUGCUGUAGUCAAUCUAAUACUCUCUAUAGUUCUAGGACUGUGAAAUAACAAGACUUCAACAUCAGUUUUCUGCAAGAGGAUGGAUAGGUGGACAGACAGACUGGCGGAUGAAUAGAUCAUAGAUUAGAUAGAUAGAUAGAUAGAUAGAUAGAUAGAUAGAUGAUGAUAGGGUGAGAUUAAAUUACAACCACCAGUGUAUCUUAAGAGCACUAGAUGCCUGCAGCCAAAGAGCCUGGCUGGAUAGUUCAAAUCAGUGUGUAAAGUUCAGAGUGUAGCUAGGCAUUUGUAAUCUGGGUGGAAAAAACCCACUGUGGAAGUUCUGAUGCUGCAGUUAGUUGAGAUAUAUGCUUUUCUUUUAAGGACUAAGCUUAAAGAAGAUUGAUGCAGUAGCAGCAGCAAAGCACUGAGAUUCCAUGAGCAUUGUUUUUCUUUCUAAAUGAAUGAGUUUAUGGGCUUUGAGAGAUCCAGAAUUACUGGGAAGAGAAAUCUACUUACAAGUGGAAGAUAAACUUCAUCCUUUCCUAUCCUUUGCAUAAAUUCUUGAAGGCACCUUCUAGGGAGUCAGGAUAUGUGUCUGGUGUCUACAAAGAGUUUGCUGAAGAGAAGUAGAGAACUAGACAGCCACAACUUGUUGUUCGGUGGGAGAAGCCAUGGGCCUCUCUGAGGGUAGCAAAUGUGUCUGGGUUGGACUGGGUCAAGUUGUCAGGGGAGGUAGGCUUGCCAUAUUUCAAAAAGUAAAAACCAGGACACCCCAAAAGUUGAGCUUCCCCACCCCCCAAACACCAGAUGAAAACCAUUUUAAAUGAGAUGGGGAAGUUAGGAAGGAGUGAGAUAUUGAAUGUCCAAAUCUGUAGCCAGAUUUUUUUGCUAUGAGGGCCUAUGGGAAUCAGGACAUAAACGCAAGCAGUCUAAUUUAUUCAAUUGCAUUACAUUAGGGAUGAGGAGCCAGUGGCCCUUCGGAUAUUGAAGCAUUGCAACUGCCAUCACCCUGUCCAUGGACCAUGGGAGUGGUGGGAGUUGAAGUCCAACCAUGUAUUGAGGGCCACAGGUUCCCCAUCCUUGCAUUACAUAUAUUAAAAACAGCCCAGUGUUUGGUACUUAUUGCAGUGAAUUCGCACUCAUUUGCAAGACCAUGAGCGUGGCCAUCUGGCUUAUAUUACAUAAGACAGUUCUCUGUUUAAAGUGUUGCCUGUUCUAAGUUUUGGUUUAAAGAUAACAAACCAUAGGAAGGGACAGAAGUGGGAUUGGACUUGCUCAUUAACAGUUAGCAUGCAGAUCACAUGGUCAUAGUCUUCUGCAGCAAUGUGAGAUGUAUUUUAUUUCCAUUUAAAUUAAUUAUUUCUCUGUCCAUGCACAUUUUAUUGAUACAGUAUGUCUGCCUCUCAUUUUGGGUUUGUGUGUAUGUGUUAUAUUUCCUCAUGUUUGACAAUAUGUAAGUGACUACCCCACAAGACCAUGAACAGUCAGGAGGAAGUUUGCGAAUCAGGGCAGAAUACUGCCUGGACUUUUUCUUGAUCUUCACAACAUCUCUGAGCCAUAGGGAGCAGUGGGUGGGGUGCUCCAGGAGGCUGAGGCAAGCAAGGCCCACAGUCCAGCUCUCUAGCUGGCCAGGUGGGGCUUAUCAGCUCUGGGAGGAGUUGUGUGAUUCCUCAGCUAGAGUAGACUUAGAACAGGUGAAGGUCACAUGUGUCAUCAAGUCCAGAUGCUGAAACCAACAUUCAAAGCAUAAAAGGGCAGCAGAGCUGAGGUGCUGGAUCUGCUCAACUGCCCAUGUUUGAUGGACCUUGACUUAGAUGUUCCUGUACCUCCAUUGGACUGUGCUUCAGUUUUGACUCUGGAUUGUAUCCUCACUGAUGGACUUCAGGCUUGGCUACUUUGAUUGAUCCUGAACUUCAUUUCCUGACCUUUAGACUUCACUUGUGUGGAUCAACCCUCACACUUUGGACUUGGCAUACUGACUUGCUGCCAGAUAGGCCACAGGUUCAGGAUACAAGUUUAGGAGCAAGAAGCUUAUAUAAAUGAAAGCUGAACAUUUAGAGAGGAGCUCAAAAUAUCCCUGAGUGGGUCUCUCUGAAAGUAAAGGCAGCGUGAUAGUGCUAUACUAGCAGAAAAGACUCUGAGUUUAGAGUACAAAACUGGCUAAGACAGGCCAACAUAGAAUUGAAGGGCUGAGUUGAAAUACACCCCCCUGCAUUUAACACCCCAUUCAUAGGUGGUCAAGCAGGGGUUAAGUAAGCAAAAAAAUGGGGGGGAGGGAAUUGAACUAAUCCCCUCCCCUUUUCAACACCCAUUUCAUGGGCGGGUGGGUGUGGAGGAAGAGUUUGUUUUCAAUGAAUUUAUAUAUGGAGUUUGGCAGUUCUGACCCAUUCAAGCUUUGCCCAUAUUGGACUGCCUCUUGCAUUUAAUGCCUGCUUAUUUCCAAGCUGCCUGGGCAAAUAUUUAAAAUAAAAAAGUCCGAACAAAAAUAUGCAAAAUUAAAUGCAAAAACUUAUAUUAUAGGUAUGAUACAUAUAAAAGAGUAAAGCAUCAUGCAGUACUAUAUUGUCAUCAUAAUUUUACAUGUUAAUGUGUAUUUUUAUACAUGUAUAUGCAUUGUUGCAUGCCUCUGUUUGUGUGCCGAUUCCUUAUAGGAAAUCUGGAGUUUGUAUGGAUAUUAUAUGCAUGUAAUUAUAUACAGUAUUAUAAAGCAUAUAAUAUGUGAGGAAUUAUUUUUCUCUUGUUUUUGGUGGAACUGGCAAAAACAACCCUUGCUUCUUAUUGGGAUCAAGGAGGGAGAUGGGGAGUUUGGGGUAGAAUCUGUGGGGAUAAGCUCAACACUGAGAUUUUCAGAAAAAUUCCAUCCCUACACACAGAUCUGGGGGAAGAAAAUGGUGAAAGAAUAUGGAACAGGAUAUUGUGGAUUUGGUACAAACAGAGGAGGAUGCAUGGCAAGAUUUCUCCAGAUUGCCUUCAGUCAUUGCAUUUUUAAAAAGAAGCCUGUAGGCAAAUUAUUUUACAAAUACGUGUCAAACUGCAACAGAUGCCCAUGGGAAAUGUGUGUUUCUUCUGAUCACAUGUAUGUAGGGACAGACAGAUCAGUUUUGUUUCUGUAAGCUUCUCAUUUCUCCAAUCUUCCAUUCAGUUCUCCACAUUUCUGUAGGAGUUCAUGAAUUCCUUCCCUACCAAAUAAUAAGAAUAAAUAAAUAAUUUUCUCAUGUAAACUGAGCAGCAUUUUAGUGUGAAUUUCUCCUAAUAAAUCCAGCUUUGAUUGCAUUUUUGGCUACGCAAAUUUUUGCAAGCAUUCCCCCCCCCCCACUAUAAUGCAUUUUUGCAUGUUAUUUUCUCUAAUAGCUUUUAUUUUUGUGCAUAUUUCCCUCUAAAACGUGAUUUUGGGGUAGAAAACUGCAAAAUUCAGAGAAGUGCUAAUUUCAAAUGUUUCGGAUUGCACAUUGUUUCAGAAGGUGCAAACUAGGUAGCUUCUUAUUAAGAUGCGAACAAAAUUGAAUCCUCCUCCAUCCCAGCAUGUGUUACAUGUGCAGAGACGUUUGGGUUCUCUGCCAUGUGUACACUCAGAAGCAAAACCACAUUUGCCACUGAGUAACCUGUGAAGUGUCCCUCUGAGCUAAGAAGGAAGGCAAAAGAAAGGCUGCCAAAAGCCACCCCGAUUCUCCGAGGGUUGCUUCACAGCGAGCUCUCUGCUGAUUGCUGUUUAAUCAACUAUUUAAAAUCCUGCUCUGAGACUUUCAUCAAUUCCCAAAUCCCUGAGACUGAAAGGAAAAGAAAUUAAAGCGGAAAGAGAAAUCUCUGCAGAGUCCGAGCUGUGUGUAAAUGUGACCUACUUACAUGGCUGUGGUCCCGCCACGAGGCAGCGAGGGACACGGUGUGCCCACGCAGCACCCCAACUCAAACACCGGAAGAAGGCCUGAGGGGGGAGGGGAGGAGCUGUUCUCCUCCUGCGAUUUGACGGAGUUCUUUUUUAGUUUUGGCAUCCUCUCACAUCACAGGCAGAGGAGGAGUGAGGGCUCCAAAGGGAUUAGUAAAGAUUUAUUUUUUCUUUUUCCGGAGUGAGAUGAAAGAGGAAGGCGAGGAGGGGAAGGGGGGUGGAGAGCCAAAAUGAAGAACAAGGAUUCCUAGCAAAAGAACCUCAUUAUUCUUCAUCUUUUCCAAUGACCUUGUUUGUUUUAUUCUUGCUUGAAAGUGGUUACUUCUGAUGCUAAAGUUUAAAGACAUCUGCAGACUCUGGCAAGGAAGGAAGGGAAUGAAAGUAAGGAUUAGGUGAAGAAGUGAAAAAAAUCUGUCUCAGUACCUUUUGAAAAAAGAUUCCCCCCCCUUCUCCAUUGAAUGUGCAACAUACCUUGAUCUCAAAGGAGCCAUUGCUCUGUGGAUGCUGAAUGGAGCAUAGAAUCAUAGUGAAGUGGUACCUUGGGUUAAGAACUUAAUUCGUUCCGGAGGUCCGUUCUUAACUUGAAACUGUUCUUAACCUGAGGUACCACUUUAGCUAAUGGGGCCUCCCACUGUUGCUGCCCCGCCACCGCACAAUUUCUUUUCUUAUCCUGAAGCAAAGUUCUUAACCUGAGGUACUAUUUCGGGGUUAGUGGAGUCUGUAACUUGAAGCGUCUGUAACCCGAGCUACUGUGUAUUGUGGAGUUUGAAGGGACCCCAAGGGUCAUCUUUUAUAGCCCCCUGCAAUGCAGGAAUCUCAGCUAAAGCAUCCAUGACAGAUGGCCAUCCAACCUCUGUUUAAAAACUCCAAGGAAGGAGAGACUAAAAUCUUCCACGGGAGUUUGUUCCACUGUCAAACAACUCCUCCUGUCAGUCCUAGGGAUGUUGACUCCGAAGCAAGCCCUACACGUAUGCUCUAAAGUAUGUGCACAUAAAAUUGAAACUUUACAGCUUGAUUCUACAUAAACUCAGUGAAGCCUAUCAAGUGUGCAUAAGGGCUGCCUGCUCCCCAUUUCACCAAGCUGUGAGGAGUUCCAGGGGCAGGACUGGAAGUUCAGCUUCAUUCGGAGAUGAGUACACUGGAGGCUUCUGGCAUUUUGUAGUCUUGCCACAUGUCCUCUUUUUCCAGGACACAUCCUCUCUUUCAUGAGGAGUCAUCAUCCAUAGUUAAAAGUAAAAAAGGUAAAGGGACCCCUGACCGUUAAGUCCAGUCGUGAACGACUCUAGGGUUGCGAUGCUCAUCUCGCUUUACUGGCUGAGGGCGCCGGCGUACAGCUUCUGGGUCAUGUGGCCAGCAUGACUAAGCCACUUCUGGCAAACCAGAGCAGCACCAGAGCGGUACCUAUUUAUCUACUUGCACGUUUGACAUGCUUUCAAACUGCUAGGUUGGCAGGAGCAGGGACCGAGCAAAGGGAGCUCACCCCAUCGCAGGGAUUCGAACUGCCGACCUUCUGAUCAGCAAGCCCUAGGCUCUGUGGUUUAACCCACAGCGCCACCUGCGUCCCAUAGUUAAAAGUAGAAGUCAGCAAAUGUGUCCUCUUUUUUGCUCUUCAAAAUGCGUCAGCCCUAGAUAGAAAAGGAAUUUGAUUUGGUUUGCAUUUAAAGGGGAACCUACUUUUCUGAUUCAAUCUGCCAGGAGUGGGGAACCUUUUUGGUCCAGCAGACCUGAUUGCUAUCUGACCCCAACUCCAUGGGCCAACUUGGACAGGUGCGUGAGACAACCAACUCUGUCACCAGACAUCUUGGGACAUCAGAUGAUUGACAGGGGGUUGUCCAGCCCACCUGCCAAAGUCCCUUGUGCAGCAUUUCUCAACAGUCAGCUGGUUGUAAGGCACUUUGGAGUUGUAGUGCAAGGGUUUUGCCAGCCCAGGUGCUCAGCAAAGCUGAUUUCUGCAGGGACUGGCUGCAAGAUCAAGUGCUUCAAGAGUUUAACCCCCCACCCAUCAGGUAACAGGUGGUGAUUCAACCCUGCUUGCUGCAGGGAUCAGCUGUGCAAUUGGAUUCCCCAAGGGGGAGCUAAGUCACGCAGCUGAUCCAGCCACAUCUCUUCCUGCCCCCACACUCAAAGUCACAAAGGUCAGACAUGCUGAGCAUGGUUUUGGUUAAACAGCUUGUGGGUCAACUUGGGACCUGUGCAUGAGGUUCCCCAAGCCUGCAACACGCCAUUCGAAACAUAGCCAUCCUGUGAAAUUCACCCUUCUCCAAGUUUUGUAGCUUCCCAGCAAGCAGAACAUGCACAAAAAUGCACACGCUAAGCUAAAAUGUGCAUAAGAUAGAAAUAUUGUGAAAAUAAUAUAAAACGAGAUGGAUCAGGGAAGACGGCUCUGUAAAAAUGUUUAUAUCUACAGGGAAAACUGCAUACGAAAUGUGCAUAUUAGGAGGAAUUCACACUAAAAUGCUCUUUAAAAAAUAAAUAAAUCACAAACUGGUGUGGAAAUGUGGAGAACUGAACUUAAGACUGGAAAAAUGAGAAACUGAGGGAAACUGAAAUUGGCAGAUAUGUCAAUCCCUAGUGGAAGUGAACUGAAUACAUACUCCUAGCAGACGAUCAAUCUGCUGCUCCAUAGCAGACUUCUAGAGAAAGCAGCCCCAAGAUCCUUUCCACAUUCAGCUUACUCUGUCUUUUUUUAAAAAAAACCAAAACUUCACCUUUUUCUUUAUACACAUACAUGUGGGUGUGCGCAUGCACACACACAAGAUCUACCUCAUCAUAGCUUAUUUUACCUUCUAGAAUGAUCCCCAACUAUUCCCUAGCCAUUAGCUCCCACUGAAAACACAUCAGCUAACUACACUGAGCCAUUAAUUUGAAAUUCACUUAAGAAAAUAGGUGGCCAGUUAGUAUGGUCAGUAUCUUAACCAAUAGGGCUGCAGCUGUAAUGUGACACGUCUGCUAUCUGCAUGUGGAGCCCUGUGGUGUGUGUAAGUUAACCACUGGGGACCAAUGGGUGACUGGAUGUUGGAAUAGACAGCCUCAUGGUUCUUUUCAGUGAUUCUUUCACAGGCAGUGAAAUGUCUGGAGCUGCCCCUUAGUGUGUGUUGUGCAGGGGGAUGGAUAUUUACUGGAUGUCAAACAAUCAUGUAAUGCACAUUAACAAUGUGGGCAGAAGUUGCCACAAAAGAACAUGCUGGGAAGAUCAAGAUUUUAUCAUCAAACUGGCUUUGAAUCUUCUUCUGUAUCUUCUUAGACAGCUCUUCUGAUUGAGUCCACAGUUCACUUUUGCAGCAACUCGAUGAAGUCUGGCAUUUAACCUGCAGACAGAAAGAAAAAAGAAUCUAAGCCCACCCAAAGAUGAAAAGCCUGAAUAUAAAAAAGAGGAGACCUCUAAAAAUGAAAAUGAAAAUCAAAUGUACAACCUCUGCUGGCAUCUCACAAUGAUCUACUAGCC